AGGACGAACGCUGGCGGCGUGCUUAACACAUGCAAGUCGAGCGGAAAGGCCCUUCGGGGUACUCGAGCGGCGAACGGGUGAGUAACACGUGAGUAAUCUGCCCCUAGCUCUGGGAUAGCUCCGGGAAACCGGGAUUAAUACCGGAUAUGACCACUUUAGACAUCUGCUGUGGUGGAAAGAAUUUCGGCUAGGGAUGAGCUCGCGGCCUAUCAGCUUGUUGGUGGGGUAACGCCUACCAAGGCGACGACGGGUAGCCGGCCUGAGAGGGCGACCGGCCAACGACUGGGACUGAGACACGGCCCAGACUCCUACGGGAGGCAGCAGUGGGGAAUAUUGCGCAAUGGGCGAAAGCCUGACGCAGCGACGCCGCGUGGGGGAUGAAGGCCUUCGGUUGUAAACCCCUUUCAGCAGGGACGAAGCGAAAGUGACGGUACCUGCAGAAGAAGCGCCGGCUAACUACGUGCCAGCAGCCGC
rnacentral:rRNA from 1 species